AAGCGCGCCUUCAUUCCUAGUAUACUCAAAUUGGAACGAUACAGAGAAGAUUAGCAUGGCCCCUGCGCAAGGAUGACACGCAAAAUCGUGAAGCGUUCCACAUUUUU
rnacentral:snRNA from 1 species